AAUGCCGGAUGCUCCAGUUGACCGCAUGGUCCUCUGGGAAAGCUUUUGCGGUAUGGGAUGGGGUCGCGUCCUAUCAGCUUGAUGGCGGGGUAACGGCCCACCAUGGCUUCGACGGGUAGCCGGCCUGAGAGGGCGACCGGCCACAUUGGGACUGAGAUACGGCCCAGACUCCUACGGGAGGCAGCAGUGGGGAAUAUUGCACAAUGGGCGCAAGCCUGAUGCAGCGACGCCGCGUGCGGGAUGACGGCCUUCGGGUUGUAAACCGCUUUUGACUGGGAGCAAGCCCUUCGGGGUGAGUGUACCUUUCGAAUAAGCACCGGCUAACUACGUGCCAGCAGCCGCGGUAAUACGUAGGGUGCAAGCGUUAUCCGGAAUUAUUGGGCGUAAAGGGCUCGUAGGCGGUUCGUCGCGUCCGGUGUGAAAGUCCAUCGCUUAACGGUGGAUCCGCGCCGGGUACGGGCGGGCUUGAGUGCGGUAGGGGAGACUGGAAUUCCCGGUGUAACGGUGGAAUG
rnacentral:rRNA from 1 species